rnacentral:rRNA from 1 species
UACGAAGGGGCUAGCGUUGCUCGGAAUCACUGGGCGUAAAGCGCACGUAGGCGGCUUUUUAAGUCAGGGGUGAAAUCCUGGAGCUCAACUCCAGAACUGCCUUUGAUACUGGGAAGCUCGAGUCCGGGAGAGGUGAGUGGAACUGCGAGUGUAGAGGUGAAAUUCGUAGAUAUUCGCAAGAACACCAGUGGCGAAGGCGGCU